AGAAUCAACGCUGGCGGCGUGCCUAACACAUGCAAGUCGAACGAGAAAGUGGAGCAAUCCACGAGUAAAGUGGCGCACGGGUGAGUAACACGUGACUAACCUACCCUUGAGUGGGGGAUAACCUAGGGAACCUGGGCUAAUACCGCAUAAUACCUUCGGGUCAAAGGAGCAAUUCGCUUUAGGAGGGGGUCGCGGCCGAUUAGUUAGUUGGCGGGUAAUGGCCCACCAAGACUAUGAUCGGUAU
rnacentral:rRNA from 1 species